CGCUUUCUCUCAGUCCUUAGUGGGCGGUUUCAGAAAGGUUAGAGGGGUGAACUUAGGAGGGUGGCUGGUGGUGGAGAGGUGGAUCAAACCUUCCCUUUUUGAUGGAAUUCCCAAUAGUGAUAUGCUGGAUGGAACUCAAGUUCAGUUCAAGUCAGUGGCGCUGCAGAAGUUUGUGAGCGCUGCUAAUGGAGGAGGCUCGAAUGUAACUGUAGAUCGUGAUAUUCCUUCUUGGUGGGAAACCUUCAA